rnacentral:rRNA from 1 species
UACGAAGGGGGCAAGCGUUGUUCGGAAUUAUUGGGCGUAAAGGGUGUGUAGGCGGAUCGUUAAGUGCCUUGUGAAAUCCCACGGCUUAACCGUGGAACUGCUUGGCAUACUGGCGGUCUUGAGCAACCUAGGGGCUACCGGAACAAAUGGUGGAGCGGUGAAAUGCGUAGAUAUCAGGAGGAACACCGGUGGUGUAGACGGCUUUCUGGACCGUAACUGACGCUGAGACACGAAAGCGUGGGUAGCAAACAGG